AACCAUUUUGCAUGCAUCUCACGCUGCUCAUUGGUUGCACGGGUUGGUAACACCGGGAGUUAAUGGUCAAGAACAUAAGCUAUCUUUUCACAACUUAAGACAAUCUUCAAGUUGCGGAGCCAAUCUUUAUAGUUUGGUCCGGUCAACCUAUUGUUAUCUAGAAUUCGAAUUAUCGGAUUGGAAGCCAUUCACAUCUACAGAGAGUAAAGAUUCUAAUUAGAAAUUUGUAUUUGACAUUAAUUUAUUUUAGGAACUUUUAAAACAAAAUUGGAUCAAAUCCUUCCACUAUUUCUCGGAUCUCUCACACUUUCCUGGUAAAGA
rnacentral:lncRNA from 1 species